GAACGCUGGCGGCGUGCCUAAUACAUGCAACUUGAACGCACUGACGUCGACAGAAGGUGCUUGCACUGGAAGUUGAUUGACGUGAGUGGCGGACGGGUGAGUAACACGUGGGUAACCUGCCCUUAAGCGGGGGAUAACAUUUGGAAACAGAUGCUAAUACCGCAUAAAAGUUGAGAUCACAUGGUCUUAAUUUGAAAGACGGCCUUUGGCUGUCACUUAAGGAUGGACCCGCGGCGUAUUAGCUAGUUGGUGAGAUAAUAGCCCACCAAGGCGAUGAUACGUAGCCGACCUGAGAGGGUAAUCGGCCACAUUGGGACUGAGACACGGCCCAAACUCCUACGGGAGGCAGCAGUAGGGAAUCUUCCACAAUGGACGAAAGUCUGAUGGAGCAACGCCGCGUGAGUGAAGAAGGUUUUCGGAUCGUAAAACUUUGUUGUUGGAGAAGAACAGGGACUAGAGUAACUGUUAGUCCUUUGACGGUAUCCAACCAGAAAGCCACGGCUAACUACGUGCCAGCAGCCGCGGUAAUACGUAGGUGGCAAGCGUUGUCCGGAUUUAUUGGGCGUAAAGCGAGCGCAGGCGGUUUCUUAAGUCUGAUGUGAAAGCCUUCGGCUUAACCGAAGAAGUGCAUCAGAUACUGGGAAACUUGAGUGCAGAAGAGGAAAGUGGAACUCCAUGUGUAGCGGUGAAAUGCGUAGAUAUAUGGAAGAACACCAGUGGCGAAGGCGGCUUUCUGGUCUGUAACUGACGCUGAGGCUCGAAAGUAUGGGGAGCGAACAGGAUUAGAUACCCUGGUAGUCCAUACCGUAAACGAUGAAUGCUAAGUGUUGGAGGGUUUCCGCCCUUCAGUGCUGCAGCUAACGCAUUAAGCAUUCCGCCUGGGGAGUACGACCGCAAGGUUGAAACUCAAAGGAAUUGACGGGGGCCCGCACAAGCGGUGGAGCAUGUGGUUUAAUUCGAAGCUACGCGAAGAACCUUACCAGGUCUUGACAUCUAGCGCCAAUCCUAGAGAUAGGACGUUCCCUUCGGGGACGCUAAGACAGGUGGUGCAUGGUUGUCGUCAGCUCGUGUCGUGAGAUGUUGGGUUAAGUCCCGCAACGAGCGCAACCCUUAUGAUUAGUUGCCAGCAUUAAGGUGGGCACUCUAAUCAGACUGCCGGUGACAAAC
rnacentral:rRNA from 1 species